CUUUACAUAAAAUGUAAUUUUUAUUCCUUCAGAAAGAAAUAUGUUAAUAUAAAGGUACAUGAAAUUCAUGCUUAGAAAUGUUCAUUGAUAUUUCACUCAAAACCUCUAAGUCAAUUUUUAUAAAUCUGUUACAUUCUUGGCAUUCAAGAUGUAUAUGCCACAGCAUAUUUAAAAGUUCCCAAAUUGCUUUUAGAAUCAAAUCUGAUAGGUAAUACAUUAAAAUAUGUAUGAAAAUUUUCGAUGACAUUUCAAGAGAUUUAAUAAUAUGAAUUGACUAAUGUCAUUCAAAAUUGCUUGUUUUGUUAAGUAAGAAUUCUGAUAUUUUUACUGUUAAUUUCAUUAUCAGUCCUAGUUGAUUUUCUUUUAGUUUUGCAAUAUUUGCAUAACUUCAUGAGAUUCACUCAUGAAUAAUGUAGUGUAGUUCAACACAAGAAUAGUGCAUAACAUGUUGACUUACUAGUUGAGUGAAUCACUUUCACACACCGAACACAUAGAAGAAAAAAUGAAACAGUAAUAAAAAGAUUUCACAUUCAGACUGUCAUGUGACAGAAUCAAGGUGAUGAGUAAACAAUGUGAACUCGCAGAGUGCUAUUUGUGAAUGCCAAGGACCUACUGUGUGAUGGACCUCAUGAAUAGUACAACUUUGGGGGGCAGGUGGGUG
rnacentral:lncRNA from 1 species